rnacentral:ncRNA from 1 species
ACUCUAGUCUGGCACUGUGAAGAGACAUGAGAGGUGUAGAAUAAGUGGGAGGCCCCGGCCGCCGGUGAAAUACCACUACUCUUAUCGUUUUUUCACUUACCCGGUGAGGCGGGGAGGCGAGCCCCGAGCGGGCUCUCGCUUCUGGUUUCAAGCACCCGGCUCGCGUCGGGUGCGACCCGCUCCGGGGACAGUGGCAGGUGGGGAGU